rnacentral:rRNA from 1 species
GCCAGCAGCCGCGGUAAUUCCAGCUCCAAUAGCGUAUAUUAAAGUUGUUGCAGUUAAAAAGCUCGUAGUUGAAUUUCGGGAUCAAUUUAUUGGUCGUGCUAUUGUACGUACUGGUAUUAUUGAUUCCUACCUUCUGACGAACCAUGAUGUCAUUAAUUUGGUGUCUUGGGGAAUCAGGACUGUUACUUUGAAAAAAUUAGAGUGUUUAAAGCAGGCAUACGCUUGAAUACAUUAGCAUGGAAUAAUGAAAUAGGACGUUUGAUUCUAUUUUGUUGGUUUCUAGGAUCGACGUAAUGAUUAAUAGGGAUAGUUGGGGGCAUUAGUAUUCAAUUGUCAGAGGUGAAAUUCUUGGAUUUGUUGAAGACUAACUACUGCGAAAGCAUUUGCCAAGGAUGUUUUCAUUAAUCAAGAACGAAAGUUAGGGGAUCGAAGACGAUCAGAUACCGUCGUAGUCUUAACCAUAAACUAUGCGGACUGGGGAUCGGAUGAUGUUAUUUUUAAUGACUC